GAUGAACGCUGGCGGCGUGCCUAAUACAUGCAAGUCGAGCGAAUGGAUUAAGAGCUUGCUCUUAUGAAGUUAGCGGCGGACGGGUGAGUAACACGUGGGUAACCUGCCCAUAAGACUGGGAUAACUCCGGGAAACCGGGGCUAAUACCGGAUAACAUUUUGAACCGCAUGGUUCGAAAUUGAAAGGCGGCUUCGGCUGUCACUUAUGGAUGGACCCGCGUCGCAUUAGCUAGUUGGUGAGGUAACGGCUCACCAAGGCAACGAUGCGUAGCCGACCUGGGGGGGUGAUCGGCCACACCGGGACUGAGAACCGGCCCAGACUCCUGCGGGAGGCAGCAGUAGGGAAUCGUCCGCAAUGGACGAAAGUCUGACGGAGCAACGCCGCGUGAGUGAUGAAGGCUUUCGGGUCGGAAAACUCUGUUGUUAGGGAAGAACAAGUGCUAGUUGAAUAAGCUGGCACCUUGACGGUACCUAACCAGAAAGCCACGGCUAACUACGUGCCAGCAGCCGCAGUAA
rnacentral:rRNA from 1 species